rnacentral:rRNA from 1 species
UUUAAGCAUAUCACUCAGUGGAGGAACAGCAAGCAACUGCGGUUGCUCUAGUAAUGGCGAAUGAACCAGCUUGGAAGAUGACUCAGCCUGAACGAGAUUCCCAGAAGCGCCCGGUGCCCCUCCAGGCCCGCGGUGUGACUGGCUCUCACGGAAUCCGACCUGUGGGCUAUGGACCGGCCGGUCGUGCCGGAGCGCCACCUGGCACCAGAGAGAGACCCUGGAAUGGGCCACCCCCGAGGGCGACGGUCCCGCACGAGCUCGAGUGCCGUGGUUGCUCCGUGUAUGGCUGGCUGGAUCCCCGAGUAGAGCCGCUUGGUAUUGCAGUUUGAAGUGCGACGUGUAUCCGUCGCAAGGAGACCUAUGGACCUGGGACCGAUAGCGCACAAGUAGAGUGAUCGAAGGAUGCAAAGAACUCCGCGAAGAGGGUUAAAAGUCCCUGAAGCCUCUGCAGAAUCUGUGGUGAUUGGUGCCGUGGUACACCCGAACCAGGCGGCCCCGGGCACGCCCUCGGCUGGCUGCAGAGCCUCCGCCUCCGGGCGGGGAUGCCCAUCGCAGCAGUCGCAGGUGGCACCCUGUGUGCCUGUGCCCCGGGGUUUGUCCCGACGAGGGGAACCACAAACCCCCCAGCCAUGGGCUGGCUCUCGAGGUCCCCCCAUUGGGGCAUCGGGCCAGUGUUGUGGUCUGGGGGUCGGUUGGAGAGAACAAAGGAAAAAGCUGGUGGCGUCUUCGGACGCUGCCAGUCGCCACGGCCUCCCAGUGGUUCUGGGGUCCGGUGCCUGCGGGCGCGGCUGCACCAUUGUGAUGGUGGCCGCCCCGGUGGGUGCCAACCCCCCGCUGGGGGCCUGGUGCAACGUGCAGUGGCCUGGGCCAAGCUUUGCGGUGCCCUUCACUGCCCGUCUCGAAACACGGACCAAGGAGUCUAUGGAGCUUGCCUCGGUUGGAUGGCCUUAGCACACCUCAGGGCGAGGUGAAGGCAAAGAGAGAUUCUCCCCGUUCCCGAUGGGUGCGAUCCCCUGCAUGGAACACCAGAUCCGCAGUCCAGUGGACAGGGUUUCGAGUGCUUGCAAGGUCCAUGGGACCCGAAAGGUGGUGAACUAUCCCGUUCCACAGCGAAGCCAUGGGAAACUGUGGUGGAAGCUGGUAGCUGUUCUGACGUGCAAAUCGUGUAGCCUGAGCGCGGCAUAGGGGUGAAAGGCCAAUCGAGCCACCUAGUAGCUGGUUCCCUUCGAAGUUUCCCUCAGGAUAGCUGGGCUCAACUGUGUGUGAGAGGACCGCUCCCUUCCUAGGACGGUUAUGUCCGGUAAAGCAACGCAUGAGAGGCAACCCCGGGAGCCCCUGCUCCUGGACCUAUCCUCGAACUGUGAAUGGGCAUGGCUGAACAGGCACGCUACUUAUUCCGCUGGAGUCCGGGGCCCCUCCCAGGGCCCGUCGGUUCUCCCUGGCCAAAGAGCAGUGUUCUCCCCUGAUUCGUCGAAGCCAUCGAAAGCUAGAGCCAACAAGACACCGGGGGCUGUGUGGCCCAGACCCCCAGGCAGCAGGCAGAGAGUGUGGCGAGGGCGAGUCCCGUCGGUGUCCCCCCAUGGGACCCACGGGCUCCCCUGCGGCCCCUCCCCGCCUCCCACCUGUGGGGGCUGUGUGUCCCUCCCCCAGGACUGGUUGUGUGAAGACGAGAUUCCCUUGAACGCAGGUGCCUAUGUGGGCCAUUACUGGUAAGCAGUGCUGGCGACGCGGGGUGCUCCGAGAGUGGAUUUCCAGAUCCAGAGUGCUGGCUCAUACUCAGAUCCCACAAAGGAUGUUGCUGGCUAUGGAUAGCAGGACGGUGGCCAUGAAGGUUGGAACCCGCUGAGGAAUGUGUAACAACUCACCUGCCGAAGCCAACAGUUCCGAAAAUGGAUGGAGCUCAAGUCAGUGGAGGAUCCCUCACAAUCCACCAUCGGUGUGGAGAGGUUCCCCAGAGAGAAGCAGAGCAUCGCUGUGUAGAAAGGGCAUGAGAGAUCGCAGAUCCGGUCAGGUUCGCCCCUGGCUGGAGCAUCUUCUGGCGCAGAUCUUGGUUGUAGUAGCGAGUACUCCAUUGGGUGAAGAGCAGAGAAAACCCUGCUGUGUGCGGUUGAGGGCUGGAGUGGAGCAGGUUUCCCCAUCAACAGCCGUUGAAUGUGGGUUAACCGACCGUGAGCCAAGUGGUAAGUUCACAGAGCAACCAAAGCUGCAACGUGUGGGCCCCCAGUCGAAGCCAGCGCCCCUCCCGGUGCUGGCGACCCCCCGCGUGCCACCCUCGGGUGUGCGCUGCGGGGCCGACGGGAGAGCCGAACCUCUGGCAGGAGUGGCAAACAGGCAAGCAAGUGCAAGAUUCUGCUGUGAUGGGGCUGGAGCGCUCUCGGGUGGCAACACCCCAGGCGAUGUGACUCUGAGCAAGCCAAGGGGCAGUGGCACCCCCGAGGAGUUCUCGUUUCCUCCUGAUGGAAGACUCAUGUGGGCUAUCGAUUGGCAUGCCACAUGGUGGCAUAAGUCCUCCGCUCAGCAAGGCAGUGCGGUCUCCGCGCUGGUGGUCUCGGCAAAGAACGCAGAGAGGAAGGCUGACCUCCCCCCGGGGGGGCACAGCGCCUCGAUCUGGAUCAAUUGACUCAUGGGACUCACUGGCUCCAAUGAAAGGCUUGUGCAGUGCUCGGUGUUCCACGGCCCUAGUGGUCGUACUGGAUCACCGCAGCCGGUCUCCUCGAUGAGAAGUCGCUAGUCCACGGACGAAAUGCAGCUAAGGGAAGUCGGCAAACUGGCUGCGCACCCUCGGAAGAUGCAGUGGCUCCAGAGGCCAAGUUGCCCAGGCCUCGCCACGGCCGUGCGGCGGCAGGGGAGAGCCCACCCGUUCUGCGACCCAGGCCCCAAAGCCUGGGGACACCGGGAGGGCGCCCCUCGCCCCGUGCGGUUUCUGGCGAGGGUCGGUCCCUCCGGGGGCCGGCCACCCUGGCAAUUGCCAGUGGCUCAUGUGGAACUGUUGCCGUGCAGGGGAAUCUGACUGUUUAAUUGAAACCCAGCUUUGUGACGGGACCAGCUGGCUGGUGCCAUGAGGUGACUUCUGCCCAGUGCUCUGAUUGUCAAUGCGAAGAGAUUCAGCCAAGCGCGGGUAAACGGCGGGAGUAACUAUGACUCUCUUAAGGUAGCCAAAUGCCUCGUCAACCAAUUAUUGACGCGCAUGAAUGGAUCAACGAGAUUCCUGCUGUCCCUAGUCGCUGUCUGGUGAACCAACAACCAAGGGAACGGGCUUG